UACGUAGGGGGCAAGCGUUGUCCGGAUUUAUUGGGCGUAAAGAGCGUGUAGGCGGCCAGAUAGGUCCGUUGUGAAAACUCGAGGCUCAACCUCGAGACGCCGAUGGAAACCAUUUGGCUAGAGUCCGGAAGAGGAGAGUGGAAUUCCUGGUGUAGCGGUGAAAUGCGCAGAUAUCAGGAGGAACACCGGUGGCGAAGGCGGGACUCUGGGCCGAUACUGACGCUGAGGAGCGAAAGCGUGGGGAGCAAACAGG
rnacentral:rRNA from 1 species